UAAGAGGGGUUGAGUCAAGAUGGCGGCCUGGAAGUAGCUCCUGCGCGCUGCUCUCACAGGGAGGAGACAAAGGGCUGGUGAACACUGACCCUACAAGCUGAUAUCUAAGAAACCGUGUCGGACUCGAUCAAGGCAGCAAGCCGACACAGAGAACAGAGAGGAGUGCAGCUGGGCAGCAGCCUGUCUGGGAUAAACGCGGAGCCAGGAGAAGCUCCCCAACACAGGAAAGGGAUUUGAACAACUUGCAAAUACACCAUGCUGGACACACUAAGAUAAGCAAAAUCAACUUCCAUCAACCAGGAGUCUGUAUAUGCUUUACCUGGUUCCUCUGCUCAGGGUGUCCAAAGGCUGUGGUCAAGAAUCCCAUCUAGGAUAUCAUAUCACAUUGAGAUGUCAAGUUUCCUUUGGCUGUUCUUGGCUGUGGCAGUUUCUCAGACUUCUGUAG